rnacentral:tRNA from 1 species
GCCCCCGUAGCCCAACCGGCAGAGGCAGGCCCCUUAAAAGGGUUCGAGUGCGGGUUCGAAUCCCGCCGGGGGCACC